GUGCGCAUGAAAAGCAGUAAUGCGCUUCGGGAGGGGCCUGCCGUCCCAUUAGCUAGUUGGUAGGGUAAAAGCCUACCAAGGCGACGAUGGGUAGCUGGAUCGAGAGGUUGACCAGCCACACUGGGACUGAGAUACGGCCCAGACUCCUACGGGAGGCAGCAGUAAGGAAUCUUCCACAAUGGACGAAAGUCUGAUGGAGCAACACCCGCGUGCAGGAUGACGGCCUUAGGGUUGUAAACUGCUUUUAUAGAUGAAGAUUAUGACGGUAAUCUAUGAAUAAGGACCGGCUAACUACGUGC
rnacentral:rRNA from 1 species